rnacentral:rRNA from 1 species
CCUACGGGUGGCAGCAGUGAGGAAUAUUGGUCAAUGGACGAGAGUCUGAACCAGCCAAGUAGCGUGAAGGAUGACUGCCCUAUGGGUUGUAAACUUCUUUUAUAUGGGAAUAAAAUGUUCCACGUGUGGGAUUUUGUAUGUACCAUAUGAAUAAGGAUCGGCUAACUCCGUGCCAGCAGCCGCGGUAAUACGGAGGAUCCGAGCGUUAUCCGGAUUUAUUGGGUUUAAAGGGAGCGUAGGUGGUGUGUUAAGUCAGUUGUGAAAGUUUGCGGCUCAACCGUAAAAUUGCAGUUGAAACUGGCAGUCUUGAGUACAGUAGAGGUGGGCGGAAUUCGUGGUGUAGCGGUGAAAUGCUUAGAUAUCACGAAGAACUCCGAUUGCGAAGGCAGUUCACUGGAAUGCAACUGACACUGAGGCUCGAAAGUGUGGGUAUCAAACAGGAUUAGAUACCCUAGUAGUC